rnacentral:rRNA from 1 species
CCUACGGGAGGCAGCAGUGGGGAAUAUUGCACAAUGGGCGAAAGCCUGAUGCAGCGACGCCGCGUGAGGGAUGACGGCCUUCGGGUUGUAAACCUCUUUCAGCAGGGAAGAAGCGAAAGUGACGGUACCUGCAGAAGAAGCGCCGGCUAACUACGUGCCAGCAGCCGCGGUAAUACGUAGGGCGCAAGCGUUGUCCGGAAUUAUUGGGCGUAAAGAGCUCGUAGGCGGCUUGUCACGUCGGAUGUGAAAGCCCGGGGCUUAACCCCGGGUCUGCAUUCGAUACGGGCUAGCUAGAGUGUGGUAGGGGAGAUCGGAAUUCCUGGUGUAGCGGUGAAAUGCGCAGAUAUCAGGAGGAACACCGGUGGCGAAGGCGGAUCUCUGGGCCAUUACUGACGCUGAGGAGCGAAAGCGUGGGGAGCGAACAGGAUUAGAUACCCUGGUAGUCCACGCCGUAAACGUUGGGAACUAGGUGUUGGCGACAUUCCACGUCGUCGGUGCGCAGCUACGACAUUAAGUUACCCGUCCCGUCGGGAGGUACGGACCGCCGAACGGACGUAAACGUAACGAAACGUAAGUAAGUUAGUUACGGCGUGAGACGUAGCCGACGGACGACGACGAGGGAGGAGG